rnacentral:lncRNA from 7 species
AGUCCCACCAUGUUCAGGUCAACGUGAAGCACCUGCAUUGUGUUGAAGGCCCUCCUCACUCAGAUAGUACUGGCAAGUUUUAAAGCAUGCGUACAAUGUGCCAAGGAUCUUAUGAAGAGAAACAAACUAUAGGAAAACCAUCUCCAAACCAACCAAAUUAUUCCUCUUACAAAAGUGGUAAAGAGAGAAGAGGAUUGCAGUUGUCAUCCAACUAAAAAUGCCUAAAAGCACUCAGAUGCAGUCAUAUGCUGGAUAUGAUCUGUAUUUACAUGGAUAGUUUCAAAGUGCCAGCCAGGAGUGAAAAGGCCUUAGCCCAUCAAAUGAAGAUGUCCUUGCCUGUACAGAAAAUAUGGGAUGCUAAAAGCUUUCCUGAAAAGUCAUUGAUGACAGUUCAAAGAAAAAAUACACAGAUGCUGUAAGCAGUAAAAUGCCCUCUGCUGUGCAGGAGACACUAAAAUAAACAUUCAGCCAGAAGUGACAAUGGCUCCUUUAAAAGCACACGAAACAAAGGCCCCAUUCAGAGGAGUAGUCAGAGUGGGCAAUGCUCUAUAGCCCUUUGUAUCCUGGAACAACACGGUUACUGAAGUGCCUCUAAAAGGCAGGGACAGGAGACUGUGUUGUUUCUGGCAUCAGCUCGAUCAACCGUCAGCUAGAGGAGAGGGUGUUACAACUGAUCUCCUCGGGAUGGACAAAUUCCCAGAAAGAGGAAGUAACCUGGGAGGUUUAGGAAAAGAUGAGAAAGGUUGUUUUCCCUUUCCUGGUCUCCUGCAGGUUGAAAGGAAAUGAGACACAUCCCAGAUCAAAUCCUGCCCAGAACGAACAACCUGACUGCGUUAUCCUGGACACUUUAUCCCAAAACAAUCCACACUGGAGAAUGCGGUUGGUGGUGGUGGCCUCACGUGGCAUAGAAAUAGCUCAGCUCUCAGCAUAAGGGCUGAUUUUUGGAGGGUUAAUAGGUCAAAAAAAUCUAUUACUGAGAUUUACAAAAAGAAAUAUUUUUGUUGUCUUUAGUCUGCUUCCACUGCCUGCGUAGAGUGAAUUUUUUCCUUCUCAAUUUUCAUGGGAUCAAAGGCAGGUCAGUACUGAGCAUCUGGAGAUCUUGUCCAGUAUCACUGAAAGUUGAAAGCAUUUGGUAAAUAAAUUGUUAAGUGUCUGUUUUUACCGAAGUAUUAACAAGAGUACUGCCCCUAGCAUGAAUCUUACUGACACAAAAGGCUCCUUAGCUAUUAAUAUGAGUUGUCUGGCUGGCUGUGGAAGAGAGGGGGAAUUUGCUGUAGUUCACACACCUCAUCUGUUGCUAACCCCACAACAACUCAAGUACUAUUUUUUGGCAUGGCUAUUCUCACUUUAGGCUUGCCUAGCUCGAGAGGCGAGUAGGCAAUGUGAGCUAAUUCUGGAACAAAUGUAUAACAUGAGAUGGCUAACUUUACUGAAUUACUUUACAGUACAGCAUCCUAAAUAAUAGCUCUUGUUGCAUGAGCCCAGCUUUACACAUAUUUAUUUAAAAUACUAGAGCGAGCAGACCCCUCUGCACAGGACAAUAUUAAGAGUUUGCGAGGCACAUGUAGUUGAGAGUCACGAAUAAAGAAGUGGU